ACUCCCAGGGCUCCCUAUCCUCCCCUCCCCCUCCCACUUCAAGCAGUAAGCAGGAGGAGAAAGAGGUGGCUAGGGGAGAAAUGGCAACUCCGCUGGGGCCGCGCGAGCUAGGAACUUACUUUCUGUCAAUUAGACAUUCGUGUAGGCGACCCAAUGGUGGUUGGGCUCCAGGGUCACGUGAUGGCUUCUUUGUAGCAGCGGAAAAGGCUUGCGAAGUUUAGGCUGCUGGAAGGGAGAUGGAGCCGUUAUCCAGAGCAGAGAAAGGAGAGACAGAGAGACAGAAGCAGGAAGCCAGCGAAACAGAGGUGUAGCUGGGCAAAUUCAGGAAGACUGUUGAGAGAAGAGUACAAGAGCUUGUUAAGGAAGCACUAACUUGAGAGGUUGGCAGACUGUUACAAUAGGAAACAAACAGAACUCAAAAGACAGAUUCACGGGCAAGGGGAAGAUGCUAGGGUGAGGGCUGGGAAAGAAAACCAGAAUGGUAUCUUCAAUCCCCUUCUUAAAUUUGGGAACACUGGACAGCUUGGUUGUUGCCUGACCAAUUGGACCAAAGAGACAAGAAAGAGAGAGAAUUAAGAAGAUAUCUGGGGUAGCCAAGAAAGGUGGGAAAUGCUGAGGCCUCCUUCCUGACCUGAUGCUGAAUUUUGCGAAGGAUUUUAUUUUAAUGCAGAAAAAAGAGAUUUCAUCCCCCAUUAAAAAUGGUGAGAAUGCUGAUUUUGAAACGUCCCAGAUCUCACAGACUCAACUAAUUUCAAGUGACAUCUUUUCCCCUCUCUCCCGUGGAAUAGCCUUUGACCUCCCUCCCCCUCUUACUCCUCCCCCCCCCACACCCAAGUGUAGGAUAGGAUGUUAAUCUGUGUCCUUGGCUAAGGGGAGGGGUGAGGGAAGCAGGGAAACUCUGAAAUAAAAGCUCUGUCAUCUUCAUCAUCACUAUCAUUAUCCCAAUAUGAGCCCCCCCCCUUUGUCCAUUUUCAAAUUUCCUUCAACCAAGCAGGGAAUUAGCCUGCCAAGCAGGGCGGGACAUUCGAUCCAGACAGAAUAGGGAAGCAAGUUCAGUAAGCAAUUUCCCCGAAACAAAACUGCCCCAACCCGCAUGACAUAAAACUCUCUGAAGUUUUUAGCCUUCUCCAUCCCUAAGUUUUCUCCUUUUCUUUACAUUUUCCUCUGAAUCUGGCCAAAUCCCUUACUCAGCCAAGAAUGGACGGAGGUCCAAGGCCAACCAGCAUAUUUUGGAGACCCCAGAUCCCUGUUGGAUAGUUCAUUCACCUUCUCCCUACCAGUUGGUGCCUCCACCAUUUGGUACAGGUUUUCUCCACCUCUUGUUUUCUUCUCUCUGUGCCUUUGUGUCCCCCUACCCCCUUCCCUUUUUUCCUGUUUUCUUAGGAAGGAGAGAAAGAAUAGAAGAGAAAGAAGAAAAGAGAAAAAAGAAAAAAAUUGUACAGCUGCUGGAGUGAGGUGAAGAAUGGCCCUUUCUCAAACAGAAAAUGACUUGCUAAAGAAUAUCAACAAAACAGUGACUCCUGGCACUAAAAGUUGAGUUCUUCCUGCAAGCUGAUUAUAAAAGGGCCCAAAGAAGGCCAACUCUUUUCCCUAAAACAAGCAAAAAAAAAAGCCCUAUUCUUAAUGGUGUUGUGAUUGUUUGUUUGUUUGUUAUGAGAAAAUGGCAGAAAAAUAAAGUUGCAAGCUGCUGAGGACUUUGCUUUUUUUUUUAAUAAGAAAAAAACAACUUCGUUUUGGCUCUAUUUUCUCUUCUUCCUUAACCAAUACCCUUAGAUAGGAAAGAAUUCUGUAAGCUGACUUUCUUUUACAAUGAGUGUAUUUGUGAUAAGUGAAUUCAUUUUAAGUGAUGCUUAUCUAAAAAAAAGGCAAAGCAAAACAAAAACCUUUAAAGGAGAAAGAAAAGGGAACACUCUCCCACCAACCUUCCUUUGCUCCUCCACCAAGAAUGCACUUAAUGGCAGUUACAACGAAUAAAUACGGAUUAAUCCUAGAAUCUGGAUUGAAUUCUGGGGGUGAAUUUCUAUUCUGGGGAGGACACAGGUCUGGAAAGAAGCGGGCUCUCAUUGAGAAGGGUCCUUCUGACCCGGGUAGCGCAGCUCUUUAUUGUUAGCACAGCUAUUAUUGUUAUGAUUUAGCCCAAAUGAGCUUUGGAGCAGCCCUGGCUGAAGGGUGAAUUAAUUAACACGCAUCAGCUGAGUUUGUUAUUAAUAGAUUGGAGAGGGAAACUGAAUACAAACUGAAAGGGAGGGGAGUUGGCGCUGGACAGAGUUUUAUUUUGUCUAGAUUAAUAUUACAGUAAUAACAAUAAUACCAAUAAGCAUAAUAAUUUGGCUGGAAGCCUAAAGCCGAUGAAUUCUUCGAACGUGUCCUAAACUCCUUGACCACCCUUCCCCCCAAAAGAACCAAUAACCUGGCAGCAGCAAAGGCCUGGAGUGUGUCUUAGCUGAAAAAGAAGGGAGA